GGAGGGCCGCAAGGCAGGCGUGCUUAUCGGUCUUGAAAACCGUGAUGGGUCAUAACAGGCUCGUAAGGGUUCGAUCCCCUUGCCCUCCU
rnacentral:tRNA from 1 species